rnacentral:rRNA from 1 species
AUGAGCUUCGGGGGCCUCUUCGACGGCGGCGGCGGAGGCGGCGGCAUGCAGUUCCCUUACGCCGGCGCCUUCUCGUCCUCGCCCGCGCUCUCCCUCGGGCUGGACAACGCCGGCGGCCGAGACGGCGGCAUAGGCGGGCGGAUGUUUGCUGACGGCGCGGGCGGCGCGAUGGCCAGGGACGCGGAGGCGCAGAACGACAGCCGGUCAGGGAGCGACCACCUGGACGCCAUCUCCGGCGUCGGCGACGACGACGACGACGCCGAGCCCAGCGGCAGCAACCCCCGCAAGCGGAAGAAGCGCUACCACCGCCACACGCCGCAGCAGAUCCAGGAGCUCGAAGCGCUGUUCAAGGAGUGCCCCCACCCGGACGAGAAGCAGCGCGCAGAGCUCAGCAAGAGACUCUCCCUCGACGCGCGGCAGGUCAAGUUCUGGUUCCAGAACCGCCGCACGCAGAUGAAGACGCAACUGGAGCGGCACGAGAACGCGCUGCUGAAGCAGGAGAAUGAAAAGCUGCGCACGGAGAACCUGACCAUCAGGGAGGCCAUGCGCACCCCAAUGUGCGGCGGCUGCGGCAGCCCGGCCAUGCUUGGGGAGGUCUCCCUGGAGGAACAGCACCUGCGCAUGGAGAAUGCACGGCUCAAGGACGAACUCAACCGUGUCUGCACCCUCGCCACCAAGUUCCUCGGCAAGCCCGUGUCCCUUCUGUCGCCACUCCAGCUGCAGCCACACCUGUCGAUGCCCCUGCCGAACUCGUCACUGGAGCUAGCAGUCGGGGGAAUCGGUGGCAUAGGGUCUAUGCAGCCUUCGAUGCACGGUAUGAUGAGUGAGUAUGCCGGGGGUGCCUCAAGCUCGAUGGGCACCGUGAUCACACCAGCACGGGCAACUGGGUCUGCUUUAGCAUCGAUGGUGGACAUUGACAGGUCUGUGUUCUUGGAGCUUGCAAUCAGUGCAAUGGAUGAACUUGUCAAGAUGGCACAGACCGAUGAUCCUUUGUGGGUUACGGGAUUGCCUGGUUUUCCGGACAAGGAGUCACUCAACUUUGAGGAGUAUCUCCACUCCUCCCAGCAUUGCAUUGGCAUGAAGCCUGCCGGAUUUGUGUCUGAGGCCUCUAGGGAGUCCGGCCUGGUCAUCAUCGACAAUAGUGUUGCCCUUGUAGAGACCCUUAUGGACGAGAGGCGGUGGUCCGACAUGUUCUCAUGUAUGAUUGCUAAGGCCACAAUCCUUGAGGAGGUGUCUAACGGCAUUGGUGGAAGCAGAAAUGGAGCAUUGCUGCUAAUGAAGGCUGAGCUACAGGUGCUCUCACCUCUGGUACCCAUAAGGGAGGUUAUUUUUCUCAGGUUUUGCAAGCAGCUGGCUGAGGGUGCCUGGGCAGUGGUGGAUGUGUCCAUUGAUGGAUUGUUGAGCAAUCAAAAUUCUGCUACCACAUCCGCAGGCGCAAACCUGAAGUGUAGGAGGCUACCUUCCGGCUGUGUGAUGCAAGAUACUCCCAAUGGCUACUGCAAGGUCACAUGGGUUGAGCAUACUGAAUACGAUGAGGCAUCUGUCCAUCAGUUCUACCGACCACUUCUCCGAUCUGGUCUUGCCUUUGGCGCCAGCCGUUGGCUCGCCACUCUGCAGCGCCAGUGUGAAUGCCUGGCCAUCCUCAUGUCCUCUGCUACAGUGUCACCUAAUGAACCAACAGCUAUAUCGCAAGAGGGUAAGCGUAGCAUGCUGAAGCUCGCACGCAGGAUGACGGAGAACUUCUGUGCGGGGGUGAGCGCAUCAUCUGCGCGUGAAUGGAGUAAGCUGGAUGGUGCAACAGGUAGCAUCGGUGAGGAUGUGCGUGUCAUGGCACGAAAGAGCGUGAGCGAGCCUGGGGAGCCACCAGGGGUGGUGCUGAGUGCCGCCACAUCUGUAUGGGUGCCUAUUGCCCCUGAGAAGUUGUUCGACUUUCUGCGUGAUGAACAGCUGCGUGCCGAGUGGGACAUCCUCAGUAAUGGAGGGCCCAUGCAGGAGAUGGCUCGAAUUGCAAAGGGGCAUCAGAAUGGAAAUUCGGUAUCCCUCCUCAGAGCCAGUGCCAUGAGUGCCAACCAGAGCAGCAUGCUGAUCCUUCAGGAAACAUGCACUGAUGCAUCCGGGUCGAUUGUUGUAUACGCUCCUGUGGACAUCCCUGCAAUGCAGCUCGUCAUGAACGGCGGGGACUCCACCUAUGUUGCUCUGCUGCCAUCUGGAUUUGCCAUUCUGCCCGAUGGUCCUAGCAUCGGCAGCGAGCACAAGACCGGCGGCUCUCUGCUGACCGUGGCAUUCCAGAUUCUUGUGAACAGCCAGCCCACCGCCAAGCUCACCGUGGAAUCGGUCGAGACCGUGAACAAUCUUAUCUCCUGCACUAUCAAGAAGAUCAAGACGGCGCUGCAAUGUGCAACGCCUGAGUGUUAG